CCUACGGGAGGCAGCAGUGGGGGAUAUUGCACAAUGGGGGAAACCCUGAUGCAGCGACGCCGCGUGAGUGAAGAAGUAUUUCGGUAUGUAAAGCUCUAUCAGCAGGGAAGAAAAUGACAGUACCUGACCAAGAAGCCCCGGCUAACUACGUGCCAGCAGCCGCGGUAAUACGUAGGGGGCAAGCGUUAUCCGGAUUUACUGGGUGUAAAGGGAGCGUAGACGGCUGUGUAAGUCUGGAGUGAAAGGCCGGGGCGCAACCCCGGGACUGCUUUGGAAACUGUGUAACUAGAGUACAGGAGAGGUAGGCGGAAUUCCUAGUGUAGCGGUGAAAUGCGUAGAUAUCAGGAGGAACACCGGUGGCGAAGGCGGCCUGCUGGACUGAAACUGACGUUGAGGCUCGAAAGCGUGGGGAGCAAACAGGAUUAGAUACCCCUGUAGUC
rnacentral:rRNA from 1 species